UUCAUACUUGGUCAUCCAUUUGUUUCCCUGCAGUUGGAAUGAUACCACAGGUUGUCACAUGGGAGAUAGCGAGGUGGAUUUGUAAUUCAGUAUGGGGGGCGAGUUUGAGCCCCUCGAGCCGUAUGCCUUGGAAUCCAUUUGUCCACUCCGAACCAAAUUCUGCUACAUAGGCGUCUGUCUCCACACUGCCCUGACAUUUUACUUUCAGUUUGACUACAAGGGGUACAGGACAAGGUGAAAGGUUUGAGGUUUUCUGACCAGGGCCCCCCACCAACCCAUUGCCCACUCACGCCUAAUCUAGGACAGGACCAGCCCCGCUCCCCCCCGCCACCCACCCUUUAUCUUACCCAAACCUCAAGCCGUUCAUUUUUAUUUGUUUUGGAUUUUUCAACAAUGCAAUCCUGAAAGCACUUUGCCUUGUUAUUCCUUCGUGUGAACAUGUGAAUGAUAAUUUGUAACAAAAAUGUUAAAUAAUGUAAAAGAUCAUUCACUGUUUUGGAAAAACCUGCAUCUGUCUUUCUGACGUUAAAAGAAAAGAAAAAAACAAUUUAGUGACAUUAAACCUGAAUCUAUUUUAUAAAAUGUUUGCUGCAGCCAAUUGGUCUUGUCAUUCAGUAUUGUGGCUUAGGGUUGUUUGUGUUCAAUAAAAUGCUAUUGCUAAAUA